AUUUUGAAGUUCAAUCAGCUUGAAACUUAGUACAUAUGUUCUCUAUGAUAUGAUCUUUCUAAUUUUAAUGCCAAAUUAUAGUUUUGAUGGUCAACAUAGAAAAUGAUAGUGUGGGUCUGGCUUCAGAUAUGGGCACAUUUUUGCCUCAUCUGAUUUAGGUCUGAUUCUUGUGUCUUUUUUUUUCACCGCAUAAUUAGAUUACGUUACCGUAGUGUUAUAUUAUACACAGCCCUUUUCACAAUAUAUUUAACAACAUUAAACAAAUGAACUCUUAUCAAAGAAUUUUAUUGAUUGCAAUACUUGAAUACAGCUAACUAUAGAGAAAUUAGACAGGUACAUGCAUGUUCCUAUAUUUUGGAUAUAUGUACUGUUAGACCACUCGUUAUAAGAGUUUUUCCAAAUUCCUGAAAAUUUUAUAUUUUGUUUUGCUUUAUUUUGAAAACAAUAAUCGCUAUUUAGAAUUUUUAAAUUCCAA
rnacentral:lncRNA from 1 species